rfam:Zootermopsis nevadensis contig9078, whole genome shotgun sequence.
GCCACGGUGGUCUAGUGGAUAGAACGCUGGCCUUGUAAUCCUGGGGUCUCGGGUUCGAUUCCCGGCGGUGCCC